GGCAACGUGGCCGAGUGGUCUAAGGCGCUGGAAUUAGGUUACCCUCUUGGGAAGCAUUCUAUCCAGUCCGAAAGGGCGUGAGUUCGAACCUCACCGUUGUCA